rnacentral:rRNA from 1 species
ACCGUGCAAAGGUAGCAUAAUCAUUAGUUUUUUAAUUGAAAGCUGGAAUGAACGGUUGGACGAGAAAAUAACUGUCUCAAUUUAAUUGAAUGUAGAAUUUUAUUUAUAAGUAAAAAAGCUUAUAUGAGUUUAAAAGACGAGAAGACCCUAUAGAGUUUUAUAGUUUAUUAUAUUAAUUAGUUUUAGUAUAUUUAUAUUUUUAAUAUAGUAACUUAUUUUGCUGGGGCAGCAGAAAAAUUGAUUAAACUUUUUUUUAUCAUUUACAUUAAUUUAUGAUUUAGUGAUCCAUUAUUUAUGAUUAUAAGAUUAAAUUACCUUAGGGAUAACAGCGUAAUUUUUUUUUAGAGUUCUUAUCGAAAAAAGAGUUU